rnacentral:rRNA from 1 species
UUGACAUACUAAGAACUUCCAGAGAUGGAUUGGUGCCUUCGGGAACUUAGAUACAGGUGCUGCAUGGCUGUCGUCAGCUCGUGUCGUGAGAUGUUGGGUUAAGUCCCGNAACGAGCGCAACCUUUUCCUAUUUGCCAGCGGGUCAUGCCGGGAACUUUAAGGAUACUGCCAGUGACAAACUGGAGGAAGGCGGGGACGACGUCAAGUCAUCAUGGCCCUUACGGCCAGGGCUACACACGUGCUACAAUGGUCGGUACAAAGGGUUGCUACCUCGCGAGAGGAUGCUAAUCUCAAAAAGCCGAUCGUAGUCCGGAUCGCAGUCUGCAACUCGACUGCGUGAAGUCGAAAUCGCUAGUAAUCGCGGAUCAGAAUGCCGCGGUGAAUACGUUCCCGGGCCUUGUACACACCGCCCGUCACACCAUGGGAGUUUGUUGCACCAGAAGUAGGUAGUCUAACCGCAAGGAGGACGCUUACCACGGUGUGGCCGAUGACUGGGGUGAAGUCGUAACAAGGUAAGCGUAGAUGA